ensembl:lncRNA
GAAACUUCUCUGAUAAAAAAAGUUAAGAGGGUUUUUUUGUUGUUGUUGUUGGUUUUUCUUUCUUUCUUUCUUUUUUUGCAGAGAGGCAGCUUGGGCAAAACAGGAAGUACAGAAUGUGUGUGUUGAAAUGUUGAAGCAAAAGUUGGAAAGUGGAAGAAGGGGGAUUGGGUUGGCAGUAAAAGCAACAUCACCAAAGAGCUUGAAAGUGUUGACUUCAUCAGAUGUCACUGGAGGACUUGAUAAGAUUUGUUUCUCAGAGUGUUCUUCCCAGUGACAGUCUGGAGGACGUGCUGGAAGACAGCAAACACAACAUAGGGAGACCAGUUAUAAAGUUAAAAGACUAUUUUGAUGUCCGUUCUUUAGAUGAUAAGGACUUGAAGAUGGAAAGGAAAACUUGGAUUAGACAGUCAUUUAGGAAGGUAAAGGACACGGUGGCCAACUGCAUGCCUGGAAGUGAGGGACGAAUUUUUUAAAUGCCAAACAUACUUGCUAGUGGUUAGUCCCUUUCCAAGUCCCAACUGGUGAUUAAAAAAAAGUGCUUCUCCUACAAAUACUAGAGGGAAGAAACUGUGAUGAUGAAUUUACUAAGGCCAAAAGAAUUCAUGUUAAGGAAGCUUUGUAUUUUAUUGGGAUUUCUUCCUUCUCUUUUUGAAUACCCAAAUCCAAAUUGAUCCAUUUAUAGAUGGAGCUAAUGGUAAAGCCAGUGGGUCAUGGUCUUAAUUUCUAGAUCAGUGCUUAAAUUUAAUGUGCAUAGAAAAUCAACUAGAGAUCUUGUUACAUUACAAUGCAGAUUCUGAUUAAGUGUUUCUGAGUCUGGAAUUCUGCUUAUCUAACCAUCUCCCAUGUGAUAGUAAUGGGCUUGACCACAAUUUGAAUUACAUUAGUCUAGACUGUUUCACAGGGAAAGAGAACUUGUAGUUCAGCAGUCACCACAACCAGAUUGGAACAAUGCAGAAUACCAAAACAAGUCUCAGAUUAUGUUGCUACUGCUACAAGUUUUUCAGCUCUUGCUCUCUUACCUGGGUAUGGCUCCUUGGGAUUGGUGGCUGUCCCAAGAAGAGAACUGGUAAUGUUAUGUACAUUCUCAGCCAAUAGGGUUGUUAUAGAAUCCCACAAAGAGCCACAAAGGGUUUUCUCACCACACUGCACCUGGCAAGUCCCAUUGAAUAUUUCAAGCCCGGAGUCAAAUCUGAAAAUAACUCCAGCUGAUUGGCCUGCAGACAGUUCUACCUAGUCAAAAUGGGAUAGAGGAGAUUUUGUUCAACUUGUGUAAGGUUGAGGAAUAUCUGGGGCUAAGUUUUACCAAAAACUGCCUGUAGCAAUUGCAAUAUUUAUGUACUUGUCACCAGAGACAAAUAAGACUGAAAAUGUAUAAACUAGCUCCUUCUUACCUUAUGAGUCAGCACUCAUUGACAUUUGGCCUCUAGUCCUUGACCAUGAAGCACUUAAGUUAUGAUUUGUUUAAAUGCAUCAUCUCUUUAAUUAUGAGAGCAUAAGGGCUAGGAACCAGGAGCAGAUGCUGGGUUGGCAUUGCAUGGCAGGAGAUGGGCAUUGAUAAAUGGCCUGGGGUGGCUUAGAUCCAACCUGGCCUGCUCUGGCUGCCUGAAAUAGAGAGGAAAGUUUGCUACAGGCACACUGCAAUAGGCUUUAAUAGUAAGAGGAGUCUGGCAUGAGGAAAAGUGCUAUCUUGGAAAUCAGGAAACCAGUUCCAGCUUAGCAAUACCUAGCUGUAUGGUUUUAAGCUACGAUAUUUUGUCUUUCUUUGUUCCAGUUUUUCUUUCUAAGGAAUAAGGGGAUUAGCUUUGUCAGUAGUCUUCUCUGAAGAGCCCUCCAGGCUUCAUGGAGAGGCCAAGAGGAGCAGACAAGACUUACCCAGUUCCUUUGGAACUCUGAAUCAUGACUCUGAGGAGAAUGUGGUUUCCCUUCUCUGCCUUGGCCACAGUGCCAGUGUUUGGAGCUGAAUUAACACCACGCUUCCUCUCCGGUCUGCUGAGGUUUGGUUUCUGCUCUCCUGCUCCACCUGCUGGAAUCAGCUCCCCACACAAGCGUCCAGCCUCUAACCCCAGCAUCCCAGCAGGAGCCCAAGCCAGAACCUCAGCCCAAGCAGAUGUUAUUCAGGCUGCCAGAUUUCUGUCCAGACCUUAUCUAUGCUGUCUCCA